rnacentral:rRNA from 1 species
AUGAAACACUCCUACGGGAGGCAGCAGUGGGGAAUUUUGGACAAUGGGGGGAACCCUGAUCCAGCCAUGCCGCGUGUGUGAAGAAGGCCCUCGGGUUGUAAAGCACUUUCAGUGAGGAAGAACGCCUGGUGGUUAAUACCCAUCAGGAAAGACAUCACUCACAGAAGAAGCACCGGCUAACUCCGUGCCAGCAGCCGCGGUAAUACGGAGGGUGCGAGCGUUAAUCGGAAUUACUGGGCGUAAAGCGCGCGUAGGUGGCUUGAUAAGCCGGUUGUGAAAGCCCCGGGCUCAACCUGGGAACGGCAUCCGGAACUGUCAAGCUAGAGUGCAGGAGAGGAAGGUAGAAUUCCCGGUGUAGCGGUGAAAUGCGUAGAGAUCGGGAGGAAUACCAGUGGCGAAGGCGGCCUUCUGGACUGACACUGACACUGAGGUGCGAAAGCGUGGGUAGCAAACAGGAUUAGAAACCCCGGUAGUCCGAAGUUC